GACAUCUGUGGCAUUGAAGAUACCAAGGGAUGAAGCGCUACAGGUGUUUUGUCCCAUUCUCCCUGCAAACACAUCUUCAAGUGUGCAACAGUACAAGGUUGUCGUCGUUGCUAUUUUUGUUUCUAAAUUC